UUUUCUGCUAAGGGGACAGGACGAUUGAUCCGUGUUAAGGAAAGAAUGAAUGGGGCCAUGUAUCGUGAGAUUUUGAGCCAAAACCUCCUUCCAUCUGUGAGAGCUUUGAAUGGUUGACCAAAUACUUAUUUUCCACCAUCAUUCACAAAUAAAUUCUUUAAAAUUCCUACAAUGUGAAUUCCUGGAUAUUUUUUUUUCACAUUCUGUCUCUCACAGUUGAAGUGUACCUAUGAUGAAAAUUACAGACCUCUGUCAUCAUUUGAAGUGGGAGAACUUGCACAAUCGCUGGCUGACUAAAUACUUUUUUGUCGCACUGGAGUAUAAGUCACAUUUUUGGGGGAAAUUUAUCCGAUAAAACCCAACACCAAAAAUAGACAUUUGAAAGGCAAUUUAAAAUAAAUAAAGAAUAGUGAACAACAUGCUGAAUAAGUGUACGUUAUAUGGUAAGUAAGAGUCAUUCAAAUAACUAUAACAUAUAGAAAAUGCUAGACGUUUACCAAACAACCUGUCACUCCUAAUCGCUAAAUCCCAUGAAAUCUUAUACGUCUAGUCUCUUACGUGAAUGAGCUAAAUAAUAUUAUUUGAUAUUUUACGGUAAUGUGUUAAUAAUUUCACACAUCAGUCGCUCCUGAGUAUAAUUCUUACCCCCGGCCAAACUAUGAAAAAAACCUGCGACUUAUAGUCCGAAAAAUACGGUAGUAACUCUCACUUGAAUGCUAUUGCUGGUUUCCCCCCGCUAAUGUGGCCUUUUUGGGGAAAUGUACUGCAUAUUUCUUUCCCCAGUACAUUUUCAUUUUCAAGAUAAAAUGUACACAUUAAUAAUGUGAACUGUUGUGCUGUACAGUGCAGGCCAAAAGUUUGGACACACCUCGAUUUUCAUGACUAUUUACAUUGUAGAUUGUCAGUGAAGGCAUCACAACUAUGAAUGAACACAUGUGGAGUUAUGUACUUAACAAAAAAACAGGCUAAAUAACCGAAAACAGGUUUUUAUAUUCUAGUUUCUUUAAAAUAGCCACCCUUUGCUCUGAUUACUGCUUUGCAAACUCUUGGCAUUCUCUGGAUGAGCUUCAAGAAGGUUUUCACUUGACAGGUGUCAUCGUUUUGAUGCCUUCAGUGACAAUCUACAAUAUAAAUAGUCAUGAAAAUAAAGAAAACUCAUUGAAAUGAGAAGGUGUGUCCAAACUUUUGGAUCUGUACUGUACAUUUAAAUGUUAUGAGCAUACAUCAUAUUAGAAAAGGUCUCAUUAUAAUUAACUAGACAAUAAAUUGCAAGAAUAUGAAUUUAGGUGCCCAAAAAGACCUGUAAUACUGUGCUUUUAGUUAUUGAAAACCCCAAAUUAUCUGAGAUUUUCAAUUCGAGUUUGGAUAAUAUAUGAACCAUAAUCCAUCAAAAUUACAUUAUCAACCAAAAGAUUGGACACCUUCUCAUUUAAAUGUGUUUUCUUUAUUUUCAUGACUAUUUACUACACUGUAGAUUGUCACUGAAGGCAUCAAAACUAUGAAUGAACACAUGUGGAGUUAUGUACUUAACAAAAAAACAGGCCAAAUAACCGAAAACUGGUUUUUAUAUUGUAGUUUCUUCAAAAUAGCCACCCUUUGCUCUGAUUACUGCUUUGCACACACUUGGCAUUCUCUGGAUGAGCUUCAAGAGGGUUUUCACUUCACAGGUGUCAUUGUUUUAAUGCCUUCAGUGAUAAUCUUCAAUGUAUAAAUAGUCAUGAAAAUAAAGAAAACUCAUUGAAAUGAGAAGGUGUGUCCAAACUUUUGGAUCUGUACUGUACAUUUAAAUGUUAUGAGCAUACAUCAUAUUAGAAAAAGUCUCAUUAUAAUUAACCAAACAAUAUAUUACAAUAAUUUGAAUUUAGGUGCCCAAAAAAACCUUCAAUCCUGUCCUUUUAGUUAUUGAAAACCCCAAAUUUUCUGAGAUUUUCAAUUCGACGUUGGAUAAUAUUUGAACCAUAAUCAGCAAAAUUACAGUAUCGACCAAAAGAUUGGACACCUUCUCAUUUAAAUGUGUUUUCUUUAUUUUCAUGACUAUUUACUACACUGUAGAUUGUCACUGAAGGCAUCAAAACUAUGAAUGAACACAUGUGGCGUUAUGUACUUAACAAAAAAACAGGCUAAAUAACCGAAAACAGGUUUUUAUAUUGUAGUUUCUUCAAAAUGGCCACCCUUUGCUCUGAUUACUGCUUUGCACACACUUGGCAUUCACUCCAUGAGCUUCAAGAAGGUUUUCACUUGACAGGUGUCAUCGUUUUGAUGCCUUCAGUGACAAUCUACAAUAUAAAUAGUCAUGAAAAUAAAGAAAACUCAUUGAAAUGAGAAGGUGUGUCCAAACUUUUGGAUCUGUACUGUACAUUUAAAUGUUAUGAGCAUACAUCAUAUUAGAAAAAGUCUCAUUAUAAUUAUACCAAACAAUAAAUUACAAUAAUUUGAAUUUAGGUGCCCCAAAAAAAACUGUAAUCCUGUCCUUUUAGUUAUUGAAAACCCCAAAUUUUCUGAGAUUUUCAAUUCAAGGUUGGAUAAGAUAUGAACCAUAAUCAGCAAAAUAACAGUAUCGACCAAAAGAUUGGACACACCUUCUCAUUUAAAUGUGUUUUCUUUAUUUUCAUGACUAUUUACUACACUGUAGAUUGUCACUGAAGGCAUCGAAACUAUGAAUGAACACAUGUGGAGUUAUGUACUUAACAAAAACAAGUUGAAAGAACUGAAAACAUGUUUUAUAUUCUCGUUUCUUCAAAAUAGCCACCCUUUGCUACUGUUUUGCACACUCUUGGCAUUCUCUGGAUGAGCUUCAAGAGGGUUUUCACUUCACAGGUGUCAUCGUUUUGAUGCCUUCAGUGACAAUCUACAAUAUAAAUAGUCAUGAAAAUAAAGAAAACUCAUUGAAAUGAGAAGGUGUGUCCAAACUUUUGGAUCUGUACUGUACAUUUAAAUGUUAUGAGCAUACAUCAUAUUACAAAAAGUCUCAUUAUAAUUAACCAAACAUUAUAUUACAAGAAUUUGAAUUAAGGUGCCCAAAAAAACCUGCAAUCCUGUCCUUUUAGUUAUUGAAAACCCCAACUUUUCUGAGAUUUUCAAUUCAAGGUUGGAUAAGAUAUGAACCAUAAUCAGCAAAAUUACAGUAUCGACCAAAAGAUUGGACACCUUCUCAUUUAAAUGUGUUUUCUUUAUUUUCAUGACUAUUUACUACACUGUAGAUUGUCACUGAAGGCAUCACAACUAUGAAUGAACACAUGUGGAGUUAUGUACUUAACAAAAAAACAGGCCAAAUAACCGAAAACUGGUUUUUAUAUUGUAGUUUCUAUAAAAUGGCCACCCUUUGCUCUGAUUACUGCUUUGCACACUCUUGGCAUUCUCUGGAUGAGCUUCAAGAGGGUUUUCACUUCACAGGUGUCAUCGUUUUGAUGCCUUCAGUGACAAUCUACAAUAUAAAUAGUCAUGAAAAUAAAGAAAACUCAUUGAAAUGAGAAGGUGUGUCCAAACUUUUGGAUCUGUACUGUACAUUUAAAUGUUAUGAGCAUACAUCAUAUUAGAAAAAGUCUCAUUAUAAUUAUACCAAACAAUAAAUUACAAUAAUUUGAAUUUAGGUGCCCAAAAAAACCUGCAAUCCUGUCCUUUUAGUUAUUGAAAACCCCAAAUUUUCUGAGAUUUUCAAUUCGACGUUGGAUAAGAUAUGAACCAUAAUCAGCAAAAUUACAGUAUCGACCAAAAGAUUGGACACACCUUCUCAUUUCGAUGUGUUUUCUUUAUUUUCAUGACUAUUUACUACACUGUAGAUUGUCACUGAAGGCAUCAAAACUAUGAAUGAACACAUGUGGAGUUAUGUACGUAACAAAAAAAAAAGCUGAAAUAAGUAAAAACAUGUUUUAUAUUCUUGUUUCAUCAAAAUAGCCACUGGUUACUGUUUUGCACACUUUUGGCAUUCUCUGGAUGAGCUUCAAGAGGUACUCACCUGAACUGGUUUUCACAUGACAGGCGUGCCUUUACAGUGUUAAUUAGUGGAAUUUCUUGCUUUAUCAAUGGGUUUGGGACCAUCAGUUGUGUUGUGAAUGAGGUGUGUCCAAACUUUUGGCCUGUACUGUAUGUCACGGUGUGACAAAAAAAAAACUACCACCGGGUUUAUAUAUUUGUGUUAAAUACUUGCCAAUCAUCAGUGGUUACCGGCAAAUACCAGAGUUUUUUUCCCGCUCAAAGCGCAUAGGAACCUUAUUAGCAGUCGCUCCAAAUGUAUUGCAGUAUAAAAGGAAGGUUUUUUUAAUAGCAGACACUUUUUUUUUUUUUAGUAUUCCCGUUUUAGUUUUGUUUGUACUGUGGUAUUUUCACCCAGAUUGGGAUGUAAUGAGAGAAUUGUAAAUAAAUACGGUAGAUGCACAGGC